AAUUGGCUUGGUUUUGGUUAUAAUAUAAAUUAUUAUUAAAUUAAUACAUGUUAAGUUUAAAUUUAUAUUGUUUUGCUUAAAUUUAAUUUUUAUUUAAUUUAGUUUAAUAUUAUUUAAAUAUAGAUUAUUAUUAUGUUAAUAUUUUAUUAAGAUGGUUAAUAUAUAAGCUACGCAGUAUUUAUAUUUAUACAAUGAAUGGAAAUUUGAUAUAGUUAAUGUAGUUAUUAAAAGUGGUUAAAUUGGUGCCAGCCGCUGCGGUUAUACCAAUACUUUAAAUUUAUAUUAAUAUAGUAUAAAAUAAAGUAAUAUAUUAUAAUAUAGGUAGGGUAAAUGAGGUUAAUAUAAAUUGUAAGUAAAAUUUAAUUAUUAAUAUUAUUUUUAUCACCCUAUUAAUUAUAUUCUUUGAAAGUAAGAAGAAAAACUAGGAUUAGAUACCCUAUUAUUCUUUACCUUAAAAUUUAUAUUUAAACUAAAGUAGUAUAGACAUAAUUUUAUUUAUUAAGAGUAAUCUAUGUUUGAAAUUUAAAAGACUUGGCGGUGUUACAAAUCCUUCCAGGGGAGCUUGUUUAUUAAAUUGAUAAUCCUCAUUUUAUACUUACUUUUUUUUGAAUUGUUUAACAGUUUGUAUAUUGCUGUCGUCAGUUUAUUUUGUAAAAUUUUAAAAACAUAAUAAUUAAUAGUUGUGAUGAUAAGUCAAAAUGCAGCUUAUAAAAAAGGUUUAUUAAAUGAGCUACAAUUUAUAAUUUUUGAGUGCGGAUAUAGACUAUGUAAUUAGUUUUUGAAGUUGGACUUGGUAGUAAUAAAUAAAAUAGUGUGUUAUUAUGAAUUAGGUUUUGUAAUGCGUACAUAUCGCCCGUCGCUCUUGCUGGAAAGUAAGAUAAGUCGUAACAUAGUAGGGGUAGUGGAAGCUGUUCCUGGCGUAUA
rnacentral:ncRNA from 1 species